rnacentral:rRNA from 1 species
UACGUAGGUCCCGAGCGUUGUCCGGAUUUAUUGGGCGUAAAGCGAGCGCAGGUGGUUUAUUAAGUCUGGUGUAAAAGGCAGUGGCUCAACCAUUGUAUGCAUUGGAAACUGGUAGACUUAAGUGUAGGAGAGGAGAGUGGAAUUCCAUGUGUAGCGGUGAAAUGCGUAGAUAUAUGGAGGAACACCGGUGGCGAAAGCGGCUCUCUGGCCUGUAACUGACACUGAGGCUCGAAAGCGUGGGGAGCAAACAGG